UACGUAGGGUGCGAGCGUUAAUCGGAAUUACUGGGCGUAAAGGGCUCGUAGGCGGCCAACUAAGUCGGACGUGAAAUCCCUCGGCUUAACCCGGGAACUGCGUCCGAGACUGGCAGGCUCGAAUCCGGGAGAGGGAUGUGGAAUUCCAGGUGUAGCGGUGAAAUGCGCAGAUAUCAGGAGGAACACCGGUGGCGAAGGCGGGUCUCUGGGCAACAACUGACGCUGGAGGAGCGAAAGCGUGGGGAGCGAACAGG
rnacentral:rRNA from 1 species